rnacentral:rRNA from 1 species
AUUGAACGCUGGCGGCAGGCCUAACACAUGCAAGUCGAAUGGUAACAGGAAACAGCUUGCUGUUUCGCUGACGAGUGGCGGACGGGUGAGUAAUGUCUGGGAAACUGCCUGAUGGAGGGGGAUAACUACUGGAAACGGUAGCUAAUACCGCAUAACGUCGCAAGACCAAAGAGGGGGACCUUCGGGCCUCUUGCCAUCAGAUGUGCCCAGAUGGGAUUAGCUAGUAGGUGGGGUAACAGCUCACCUAGGCGACGAUCCCUAGCUGGUCUGAGAGGAUGACCAGCCACACUGGAACUGAGACACGGUCCAGACUCCUACGGGAGGCAGCAGUGGGGAAUAUUGCACAAUGGGCGCAAGCCUGAUGCAGCCAUGCCGCGUGUAUGAAGAAGGCCUUCGGGUUGUAAAGUACUUUCAGCGGGGAGGAAGGGAGUAAAGUUAAUACCUUUGCUCAUUGACGUUACCCGCAGAAGAAGCACCGGCUAACUCCGUG